rnacentral:rRNA from 1 species
UACGUAGGCAGCAAGCGUUGUUCGGAGUUACUGGGCGUAAAGGGUGUGUAGGCGGUUGUUUAAGUUUGGUGUGAAAUCUCCCGGCUCAACCGGGAGGGUGCGCCGAAUACUGAAUGACUUGGAGUGCGGGAGAGGAAAGUGGAAUUCCUGGUGUAGCGGUGGAAUGCGCAGAUAUCAGGAGGAACACCCGUGGCGAAGGCGGCUCUCUGGGACGGUACUGACGCUGAGACGCGAAAGCGUGGGGAGCGAACAGG